rnacentral:rRNA from 1 species
CAAUAGCGUAUAUUAAAGUUGUUGCGGUUAAAAAGCUCGUAGUUGGAUUUCUGCCGAGGACGACCGGUCCGCCCUCUGGGUGAGUAUCUGGCUCGGCCUGGGCAUCUUCUUGGAGAACGUAGCUGCACUUGACUGUGUGGUGCGGUAUCCAGGACUUUUACUUUGAGGAAAUUAGAGUGUUUCAAGCAGGCUUACGCCUUGAAUACAUUAGCAUGGAAUAAUAAGAUAGGACCUCGGUUCUAUUUUGUUGGUUUCUAGAGCUGAGGUAAUGAUUAAUAGGGAUAGUUGGGGGCAUUAGUAUUUAAUUGUCAGAGGUGAAAUUCUUGGAUUUAUUAAAGACUAACAUCUGCGAAAGCAUUUGCCAAGGAUGUUUUCAUUAA